rnacentral:rRNA from 1 species
GAUGAACGCUGGCGGCGUGCCUAAUACAUGCAAGUCGAGCGAAUGGAUUAAGAGCUUGCUCUUAUGAAGUUAGCGGCGGACGGGUGAGUAACACGUGGGUAACCUGCCCAUAAGACUGGGAUAACUCCGGGAAACCGGGGCUAAUACCGGAUAACAUUUUGAAACGCAUGGUUCGAAAUUGAAAGGCGGCUUCGGCUGUCACUUAUGGAUGGGCCCGCGUCGCAUUAGCUAGUUGGUGAGGUAACGGCUCACAAAGGCAACGAUGCGUAGCCGACCUGAGAGGGUGAUCGGCCACAUUGGGACUGAGACACGGCCCAGACUCCUACGGGAGGCAGCAGUAGGGAAUCUUCCGCAAUGGACGAAAGUCUGACGGAGCAACGCCGCGUGAGUGAUGAAGGCUUUCGGGUCGUAAAACUCUGUUGUUAGGGAAGAACAAGGGCUAGUUGAAUAAGCUGGCACCUUGACGGUACCUAACCAGAGAGCCACGGCUAACUACGUGCCAGCAGCCGCGGUAA